rnacentral:rRNA from 1 species
AUUGAACGCUGGCGGCAGGCUUAACACAUGCAAGUCGAGCGGAGGAAGGUAGCUUGCUACCGGACCUAGCGGCGGACGGGUGAGUAAUGCUUAGGAAUCUGCCUAUUAGUGGGGGACAACAUCUCGAAAGGGAUGCUAAUACCGCAUACGUCCUACGGGAGAAAGCAGGGGAUCUUCGGACCUUGCGCUAAUAGAUGAGCCUAAGCCGGAUUAGCUAGUUGGUGGGGUAAAGGCCUACCAAGGCGACGAUCUGUAGCGGGUCUGAGAGGAUGAUCCGCCACACUGGGACUGAGACACGGCCCAGACUCCUACGGGAGGCAGCAGUGGGGAAUAUUGGACAAUGGGGGGAACCCUGAUCCAGCCAUGCCGCGUGUGUGAAGAAGGCCUUAUGGUUGUAAAGCACUUUAAGCGAGGAGGAGGCUACUCUAGUUAAUACCUAGGGAUAGUGGACGUUACUCGCAGAAUAAGCGCCGGCUAACUCUGUGCCAGCCGCCGCCGUAA